CAUGCUUACUAGAUUGUUUCAGUAAUGACCUUCCAUUUAUUCACGCCCUCCUGUCCCUGCUAUGUGGGUUGUGCUUUUACAUGUUGAAUAUGGGGUUGUCCUCAUAGUAUGUGAGCAAUGAGACAAUAGCAAGCAUGGCAUAAGCAGAUACUUGGAAAUGCUUUUGCAUCGAGUCCUGUUCUACUUCUUGGUCUUCUUAAAACAUGCCUGACCAUCACCAUAUGAAGAAAUCCAGGAUAAUUUGCUAGGUGAGAAGAGACCAUUGUUUCAGUAAUCCUUGUCAUUUCAUCCAAGAGCCAGAAGAUUUUCCUUUUCUCCUACUAGACACUGUGGAUGUUAGCAGUCCAGAAUCAAGGGCCAUUGUUUCUAGGUGCUCUAGAGGACGUGCUGAGAAAAAGUCAACACUAUUAUGUCUAGUGCUGUUGUGUUCUGCAUCUGGAGCUGGGUGGGUUUCAUCAGGGACUGAAUGGCUGGCAAUCACUGGAAUUCAACCUUAAUUCAUUAAGCUCUUCAAGUUCGCUGCAUGUGGAGCUCUUUAUUUACGUUUAUAAGAAUAAAAUUAUUUAAAGAGAUUUAGCUCAUGUGGGUCUAGCCCAGAAGAGAGAUGAUUAGCCAGGGUUUCCAAGUAUGGCUGACACCGAAUUUCAGUUCCUGUUUUACCAUCUCCAAAUUAGUCCAUUACAGCUUAGUUCAGUCUCUCAGAUACCUACACCAGAUCACCAAAUACAUCACGGUGGAAACAAUUCAGAGUCACCUGCCUUCUGUUGUUUCCUCAGUUUUUCUAGAUUAUUCCUCACUUUGAUUUUUUAAAAUAUUGUUUUGAUCUUUCUGUUUUUCCUUCAGCAGAACAAUCAAUCCAAAUGAAUUAAACUACUAUUAACGUAGCUUAAAAGUUUCAUAUAUUAUUAUUAUUUCCAUUUCAAUUGAGACGAUCAAAUGUUUCUCUUUGCAGAAAUAAUGUGGUAAAUUAAUCGAUAUUUCUAAUAUUAAAUCAACC
rnacentral:lncRNA from 1 species